CGGUGACCCACCCCAGCCCCGGGGAAGGGAUGAGGGCGGCCGCGCUUCAGGCCGGGCCGCGCGGUCUCCCCUGCACCGCCGCCCCCUGGACGAGGGCUGGACCCAAGGCGGUGGUCAGGGACCUCAGAACACAAGUAGAACCAGUCCAGGCCCGGGCCCGCGCUGCCCGGUUGUAGGGGUUGCAUUGGAAGAUGGGCCAGCGGCAGAGCGGAGCAUGCAGGAAAGAGGAAGAGGCCUUGGACCUGCAGCCCAGGUCGGAUUUGGUGGUUACUGUCUAAAUCUGAAGCUUUGGCCUGCCUUGACUCCCCACCCACCCAGGGCAGCUUGGACCUCUCUCUAGCCACCCUUGUCCCGAGGGGUCUGAGUGUCUCCCAGACUAAACUGGGCAUUUUCUGCAGUGGAAGGAUAAAAAUGGAAGCGUUUACGCGCCUCCCAGACACUGGUAUUAGGGCUCAAGAGCUCUACAGAUUGCCUGGGGAGGUAGGGGUGGAAGGGGUUCAGUUCCUCACUUGGAGUUAGCUCUUAGAAGCUCAGAAGAGUGGAGGCGAAGAGGGGACAUUCAGCCUGGGAGAUCUGGGGCAGCGGGAAGUGGGGAUACCGGGUCGGGGUGAAGGCAAGCAGCAGCACCCCCAGCAUGGGGAAGAAGGCCUGAGGCUGUCUCUGGCCACUGCAUCUCUAGGCCUUCUCUUGGAGCGGGAGGUGGCUGGGUUUCCAGGGAAUUUUGUGUGAGUAAAAUUUUCCCAUGUCAUUGGAGAGUUAGGAAGAGCUCCUCUUUUGGGGCCUUUUUCCAAGCGGGUCCCCCUCACCCCGCUACAGGCUUCUUGUCACUCAGGCUUCAAUAAAGGCCAUUCUGGGGGCUGCUUGCUGUAACCUAGAAGACAGAAUUGCCUAGGAUCAUUAGUAGAGUCAUUUUUUUUUUUUCCUACUCUACAGGCCAAUUAAUUUGAAACAAGCUUCUAUGGUCUUUUAACUGUUAGCAUCACCACUGUUGUAACAGGACCAUAAACCCAGUCUGCCCCACUCUAGUCCCAUGUUUUUAAUAACUGUUGGCUCUUUUUUAGGGGUUUGGGUGGGGGGAUUCCUACCUCAGUGAUCCCUGCUGAGCCUGGCUGUUGUCUGUGGUCCAGAAGGUUCCUUUACCUGACUCACUCCUCUCAGAUCAUGUCCAAAUACCAGGAGACUGACCCAGGUCCUCACCAGGUGAGUAGAGGUCUGGCUCUGAGCGACAUUAAGGAAAAGACACAGACAGAGACUGUUUUCUCUUUGGGUCUUCACAUUCAGUGAGUACAGUUCAGAAGUGUUCUUAACUGAGAGAAGCCCCUUUUGGGGAAAAUUUUUCUUUACUGUUGACUCCUUUUUCCUGCUAUGCUUCACUUUUCCGGCAUUUUAAAUUAGUUUGUUUUAAUUAUGAGUAGACUACAUCUACACAGUAAAUAGUCAAACAGAAAUAGGAUAGAAAAUGAAAAGUAAAGGUCUCUCUUUCCUUGCCACCCUCCCCAAAAAGUUCCCACGGUUCCUGGGUUGCCCUUCCAGUAUAUACAAGACUAUUUGUAUAUUCCCUUCUAAAAAAAAACGGAAUAGUAGUAUGCAAACUGUUCUGCCACGUGCUCUUCUAACUUAAUAUAUCAACAUUAUCAUAUCACUUAUAUAUGACCUCUUUCUUGUAGUUGUGUUAUGUCUCAUAGUAUGAUUAUACAGUAAUAUAUUGAACUGAUGUAACCAUGGAUGAUUAUUUCCAGUUUUUCUUUUUUUGUGGUUGCCAACAAUGCUUCAGUGAAUAUCCCUGUACAUAGAUCAGUGUGUACUUGUGCAGGUAUAUCUGCGUGUGAUAUUGUGAAAUAUAUAUUUGAUUGUAGUCCCUGUUUCCUGACCUAAAACUCUUAAAUUCCUUGGACUCUCCAGAGUGAUGAAAAUAUCUUACCUUUUGUAUGCUAAUGAGAUGGUUGGUGACUUGGAGACCCUAGAUAGCUUCAGGAUGGGGACUGGUCACCAGAAAGAUCAAGGCAGGAUUAGAGGGUUGGGACUUUUAGUCCCACCCUGUCCCCCCAGACCUCCACAGAGAGGAGAGGGGCUGAAAGUUAAGUUGAUCACCAGUGACCAAUGAUGUAAUCAAUCAGACAUAUGCAAUGAAGCCUGUAUAAAAGCCCAAAGGAUAGGGUUUGUUGAGUUCUGGAGAGCAGAACAUCAGGUUCCUAGAGGGUGGCGUGCUCAGAGAGGAUAUGGAAGCGCCACAGCCCUUCCCACAUUUCUUGCCCUGUGCAUCUCUUCCAUCUCACUGUUCAUCUAUAUGCUUUGUAAUAUCCUUCCUCAUAAAUGAGCAAACAGAAGUAAAGUGUUUCACUGAGUUCUGUGAUCCACUCUAGCAGAUUAGUCCAAACAAGGAGUGGGUUGGGGGAACUCCAGUUUAUAGCUGGGCAGGCAGAGGUACAGGAGACAACCUACUACCUGGGAUUGGCAUCUGAAAUGGGGGGCGGUCUCAUAGGAUCAAACCCUGAGCCCCUGCUAUUUCCAGGUACAUAGUGCCAGAAUUGAAUUGAAUUAAAGGACACCCAGCCGGUGUCUGUUGCAGAAUUGCUUGGUAUGAGGGGAAACAUCCCCCACACAUCUAGUGUUAAAAGUGUGCUGGCUGUGUGAGAGUGGGAGACAACACUUUGGUUUCUCCUAUAUCACAACACUGGAAUUAGAUUCCUGGAAGUGAAAUUGCUGCAACUUUUUAUGUCCUUGGUUGGAUGAAGAAACCUCGUGCUGUGACCUCCACUUUACCUGCUCACACCCCUGCUUUUGUCCUCUGCAGUCAGGCCAGCUCCUCUGCAGGUCUCAGUCCUGUUUAUUGCCUUGAGGAUCACCAUCAUGGACCAAGCAGUUUCCCAGCAUGGAUCCUGGCCCUUCUUAUACUCAGCCUCCAGACCCUUAUGUGGGGAGCUGGGGCUAAAGUCUAUAAGCUGUGUUCCUGGAGUUCCAGAGUCACUACUAGACUACGAAGGAGCAAAGCAUGGAGUCGUCUUGCUCUUUCGAGGACUUAGGAGGGGAAAAUGGAAACUUGAUUAAGGAGAACUUCUCCUGGGUUCAUCUAUGGUGGCAGCAUGGAGUUUUGUAAUAUACCACUAGCAUGCAGUGCUCAACCACAACUUUUAAAAUUGUUAUGGGCAAAGUGCCAGGAAACUGCUAACUGGUUAAAAUUUAAUUUUGGCUGGUAAAAUUUUCAGCCUUUAUUUUUAUUUUUGAGACAGAGUCUCACUCUGUCGCCCAGGUAGGGGUGCAGUGGCGCAAUCUUGGCUCACUGCAACCUCUGCCUCCCGGGUUCAAGUGAUCCUCCUGCCUUAGCCUCCUGAGUAGCUGGGAUUACAGGCAUGCACCACCACGCCUGGCUUUUUAUAUUUUUAGCAGAGACGGGGUUUCACCAUAUUGGCCAGGGUGGUCUUGAAUUCCUGUCCUCAAGUGAUCUGCCCACCUCAGCCUCCCAAAAUGCAGGGAUUACAGGUGUGAGCCACCAUGCCCAGCCAAUUUUCAGCCUUUAGAGCAAGAAAUCCUAACAAGCCUAUGCCCAUUAAUCAUAAAUCUGCCCCACUUAGGGCACUGGAUGUGUGGCUGUACAGACUGAGUUUUACCCAUCUUUAUAAAUGAUGCUACACUACUAAACUGUGAUGCAUUGGACAUCUCUCAUUUUUCUGUGGCUGACCAGCAUGCAAACAUUCUUUAUAUUUGGGGCACUCCAUCACUGUGAGAGUCUUAGGACCUUCUUUCCCACCGUGGAGCAUAAGGGGGCCACAUACUUGGUCUCCCAACCCCUCACAGCUAGGGUGGCGUGUGAUCUGGCCAAUGAGAUUCUCCUUUUGGGAACUGUGAAUCUUGAUCAAGUGGUGCAAAGACAGAGACACGUUAAAAUUCAUCUUGGUGGUCGAGUUUCUAGAGACUGGUAGUACCUAGCAAUCAUGGUGGAACCAGUGACAGUAUCCUUUUUAUUCCGUGGUACCUGAAAUCCUUACAAUAAAUUCUUCCGCUUCAAUCA